rnacentral:tRNA from 2 species
GGUCUUAAAAUUAAAAUAUUAAAUUGCAAAUUUAAAAAAGAUUUACAUCUAAGACUU